AGGCGAGAGAGCGUUUUUAGGGGAGAGGUGGUUUUACUUGAGUUGGAGAGUGUUGAUGAAGAAGAUGAAUGUAUGGACCAAUCAUUAGAUAUCUGGGCCGAAGUGAGAUAAAUAUAGAAUUCCCUGGCGUCCUUUCUGCAUUGAUAUAAUAUAAAUAAAUCCCUAGCUCGGGCGGCAAGGACCUACCUCACACACCGAUACAUGUCUUUCAGCAGAAUCCAUUGGGCCGCACGGGAUGUUCUGGGAUCGCGAAAUGUGCCUGGUUCUGCUCCGUACCAGCCAGCGACAUUUCCUCUGAUAUCAACGUCUAGCGUGUGAACGUACGUGUCCGCCCGUUCAUAUGGGCAUGUUGCAGGAAGUGGAGAAUACUAUUAUUCUGCGACAACAAUGAUAGAUAUGCAGC
rnacentral:sRNA from 1 species